AUGUACACACACACACACACACACACACACACACACCAUGGAAUACUACCUAGCCAUAAAAAGAAAUGAAAUAAUGGAAUUUGCAGAAACCUGGAUGGGUUUGGAGACCAUCACUGUGUUUUUCUCAAAACAAAUUGGGACAUAGGUCUACAAGACAGACUGGUACAGAAUAUGUUCUGUGGUCAAUUAGAAUAAUGUCUCCCUUGCAUAUGCCAUCAACCAUCAACCCCUUUGGAUCUCUACUAAUGUACUUGUUUAUCAGAACUCCAACCUUGAAGACCUUCACUCACUGCCUACUCUUCACAUGUACCUAUGCAGCUACACAUGGUUGAAGAAAAGCAAAAAAGUGCUGAAAUGUCCCAAUUAAAUGAAGUCUGUAAACCUCAAUUAUGCCUUUAAUAAUGCCUAGCAAUCAUACUAUAA